CUGACACGAUCAGUUCAGGAGCUUACCCUCCUGUCUGGCGGCUUGGACGUUAUUUUUCGGUGUAACGUUCGCUGCAGUGUCACAGAAAAGGCGCCCCCUGGGAGGUGCAGUGGGCAUAUUCCAUAAUCUCUUUGUAGUCCCUGGACCCUGACUUUGAGAGAAACCAUGCUCUCUACAGCU
rnacentral:snoRNA from 1 species